rnacentral:rRNA from 1 species
GUGGGGAAUCUUGCGCAAUGGGCGAAAGCCUGACGCAGCCAUGCCGCGUGAAUGAUGAAGGUCUUAGGAUUGUAAAAUUCUUUCACCGGGGACGAUAAUGACGGUACCCGGAGAAGAAGCUCCGGCUAACUUCGUGCCAGCAGCCGCGGUAAUACGAAGGGGGCUAGCGUUGCUCGGAAUUACUGGGCGUAAAGGGUGCGUAGGUGGCCUUUUAAGUUGGAUGUGAAAUACCCGGGCUUAACUUGGGGGGUGCAUCUAAUACUGGGAGGCUAGAGUGCAGGAGAGGGAAGCGGAAUUCCUAGUGUAGCGGUGAAAUGCGUAGAUAUUAGGAGGAACACCAGUGGCGAAGGCGACUUUCUGGACUGUAACUGACGCUGAGGCUCGAAAGCCAGGGGAGCGAACGGGAUUAGAAACCCUGGUAGUCC